rnacentral:rRNA from 1 species
ACUCCUACGGGAGGCAGCAGUGGGGAAUUUUGGACAAUGGGCGCAAGCCUGAUCCAGCAAUGCCGCGUGCAGGAUGAAGGCCUUCGGGUUGUAAACUGCUUUUGUACGGAACGAAACGGUCCGCUCUAAUACAGUGGGCUAAUGACGGUACCGUAAGAAUAAGCACCGGCUAACUACGUGCCAGCAGCCGCGGUAAU